rnacentral:rRNA from 1 species
GGACACGUGGUAUCCUGUCUGAAUAUGGGGGGACCAUCCUCCAAGGCUAAAUACUCCUGACUGACCGAUAGUGAACCAGUACCGUGAGGGAAAGGCGAAAAGAACCCCGGCGAGGGGAGUGAAAAAGAACCUGAAACCGUGUACGUACAAGCAGUGGGAGCACCCUUCGGGGUGUGACUGCGUACCUUUUGUAUAAUGGGUCAGCGACUUAUAUUCUGUAGCAAGGUUAACCGAAUAGGGGAGCCGGAGGGAAACCGAGUCUUAAUUGGGCGUUAAGUUGCAGGGUAUAGACCCGAAACCCGGUGAUCUAGCCAUGGGCAGGUUGAAGGUUGGGUAACACUAACUGGAGGACCGAACCGACUAAUGUUGAAAAAUUAGCGGAUGACCUGUGGCUGGGGGUGAAAGGCCAAUCAAACCGGGAGAUAGCUGGUUCUCCCCGAAAGCUAUUUAGGUAGCGCCUCGUGAAUUCAUCUCCGGGGGUAGAGCACUGUUUCGGCUAGGGGGCCAUCCCGGCUUACCAACCCGAUGCAAACUGCGAAUACCGGAGAAUGUUAUCACGGGAGACACACGGCGGGUGCUAACGUCCGUCGUGAAGAGGGAAACAACCCAGACCGCCAGCUAAGGUCCCAAAGUCAUGGUUAAGUGGGAAACGAUGUGGGAAGGCCCAGACAGCCAGGAUGUUGGCUUAGAAGCAGCCAUCAUUUAAAGAAAGCGUAAUAGCUCACUGGUCGAGUCGGCCUGCGCGGAAGAUGUAACGGGGCUAAACCAUGCACCGAAGCUGCGGCAGCGACACUGUGUGUUGUUGGGUAGGGGAGCGUUCUGUAAGCCUGUGAAGGUGUGUCGUGAGGC